UACGAAGGGGGGCUAGCGUUGCUCGGAAUCACUGGGCGUAAAGCGCACGUAGGCGGAUCGCUAAGUCAGGGGUGAAAUCCUGGGAGCUCAACUCCAGAACUGCCUUUGAUACUGGCAAUCUCGAGUCCGGGAGAGGUGAGUGGAACUGCGAGUGUAGAGGUGAAAUUCGUAGAUAUUCGCAAGAACACCAGUGGCGAAGGCGGCUCACUGGCCCGGUACUGACGCUGAGGUGCGA
rnacentral:rRNA from 1 species